UUGGUCAUAACUUUCCUUCCAAGGAGUAAGCAUCUUUUAAUUUCAUUGCUAAACAACAACUUAGGGAAAUGCUAUCUUUUCUAUUGAAUUUGAGCUUGGAAAGCUGUUAAGAGCAGAGCCAACUGGAAACCAGCUUAUCCCCACCAAGAACCUGAGGAUAAAAUCAACACAGAACAAAACAAAAGCAAGAGAUUUUCAUAGCUAAACGUUGGUGCAGCAGGAGAUACAGCAUAGUAAAUGCAUUACCCCUACCUUCAAUAAGCUUAAGCUAUAUCUGAGAAAACAAUAAUAAGGAUAAGAAUAAUACUCAAGUGAAAGAAGGAAACUGGAAAACUACUCUUUCCCAUUUACACUACAAGGAAUCAAGAAAGAAAGACCAGAGUAUUUGCUUCUUUUCUACUGAGAUAAGCAAGAGCUGCCUAAAAUUGAGAAAGAGAGCUUGAAGGAAUAUAAAUUAUGCAUUCAGGCUUCAUUUGUCUCUCAAUUGUUUCCCUUAUCUUUCACCAUCACAUUCUUAAAUAUUAAUGGGUAAGAAUACUCAUACCCCUCACCUUGCCCUGACUUUACUGCAAACUGUCUUAUAACCAUGUUUUUUUCUGUAGAAAAUGAGAAAUGUUGGCAUACUUAUUUUAAAACAGAUUGACAGGCAACCAAAAGUUAGACUGAGAAAUACUCACAUGAUUGGAGGGCAAUCCAGGGAGAGUGAUGUACGAAAGAUGCUUAAGAAAACUAAAAACCAGGAGGUAGGCAAACUCAGUGAGACUAAAGAAUCGAGAUAGACCUUAAGGGAACUGGAGCAGACCAGAGUAAAAAACACCAGUAUGUAAAAUUAUCCAGGCAUACAGAGAGCAGCUAGAGGAGAGAUUAUAUAUAUAUAAUGCUAAAUAAGGGGAGAAUAUAAAAUGGAAGUUCCAAAGAGAAUUGUUUUGAACUGAAUCUAACUGUAGACCUGAAACCAAAGCACGGAGCUGAAGAUCAGAAAGCCAUAACUGUCUCAUCCUGUAAAAGCCCCAGCACUGUUUCUGUCUGGCUCAGGCUGGAUCUAGUAAUGAGGCCAUCUGCUCAUAAUGCUUGCUCCAUGUGCAGCUUAUGCCCAGAAAUCUACACGCCUUCCAGCAAAGUCAUUUUUACACUGUACUUGACAGACAGAGCAUGUGUUUGUGUUAAAAACACUGCAGGAAAGGGGUACUGGGAGGAUUCAGAAAAGGCUUGACCUUGGAAAAAGACAGUCAUGAACCCUAAGGAGGUAGUAUUAAAAAGCCAGGGGCAGUGGAAAGCGGAAGAACCUACUAGAAGCAAUUCUUUAGACUCACAUCAUUCCACAGUAGGCAGGAACACCUGUUUGGAGUUGCUUUGGGGGAGACAAAGCACAAUGGCCUUGUUCUUUGUUUUUUAAAUGACUUUACAUUCUUCAGUAUUUAGCUAAAAGACAUACAGUCAAAAAUGACUUUGAAAAUAUUAGCGGGGACCCCAUUGCCA
rnacentral:lncRNA from 1 species